UCUCUAUUGUCUAUCUUUAUGUCUACUGUC
rnacentral:piRNA from 1 species